AACGUCUGGAGGAUGUGGUACACCAAAAUGAGAAUAAAUCAAGAAACAGGAAGACGUGAUCCUGGAAACAGGAUAUUCAACAGAGACGACGACCUGCGUUCCAGAGAGUGCCUUGCCGAAGGUCGCACAAGUCAGCGUUGGAGCCUCUAGCGGAACUCAGGUCUCCUGACACCCAGUGAUGCGUUCAAAUACUUUUUUAAAAACUGGGAUUUA